rnacentral:rRNA from 1 species
CCUACGGGGCGCACCAGUGGGGAAUAUUGGACAAUGGGCGAAAGCCUGACCCAGCAAUGCCGCGUGUGUGAAGAAGGUCUUCGGAUUGUAAAGCACUUUCGACGGGGACGAUGAUGACGGUACCCGUAGAAGAAGCCCCGGCUAACUUCGUGCCAGCAGCCGCGGUAAUACGAAGGGGGCUAGCGUUGCUCGGAAUGACUGGGCGUAAAGCGUCUGUAGGUGGCUUUUUAAGUCCGCCGUCAAAUCCCAGGGCUCAACCCUGGACAGGCGGUGGAAACUACCAAGCUGGAGUACGGUAGGGGCAGGGGGAAUUUCCGGUGGAGCGGUGAAAUGCGUAGAGAUCGGAAAGAACACCAACGGCGAGAGCACUCUGCUGGGCCGACACUGACACUGAGAGACGAAAGCUAGGGGAGCGAAUGGGAUUAGAUACCCUCGUAGUC